rnacentral:lncRNA from 1 species
GUUGAUUAGGAAGAAACAUACCCCAGAACUUCUCAAGCUCAGGGGGACCCUUCUGAUUCUCAUCAAACAUAGCGAAUAUAUAAGUCUCUAUAGCUUUCCCUGGCUUUCUCGGAGUUCCACUCUUCACAUGUUGUAUCAAAUUAUUAACAUAAGUCAUUGCAUUCUCCACGCUAGUCCCUGCUCCUCCCUCCGUUGGCCAACCGCUCUCAGACACCACGAUUUCCAACGAUCCUCCCCCUGAUUUCUCCAAUGCUGCAUAGACCGCGUCAAGUUGGGCGUCGAAGAGGUUAUGGUAAGUGUACUGCCCGUCAAUGACUGGAGGGGUCGGUUUGAACAGAGCGUACGCUAGAGGGAUGUCUUUCAUGUCAUCCUUGUAGCUGAAGUAAGGGUAGCUAUUCAAGAGCAGAGGAGAUUGCUUGCUUACCAAGAAACCUAUCACCGGUUGGAGAAAGGUGAUAUAGUCAUCUCUGAAUCUUCCGUGAGACGGAGGGUACGUGUCCAUGGUGGCUCCCAUGUCUAUAGCCGUCGACACCUUGAUCCCAAGGCCUGCUCUAGAAACCGCGUUAUCGAUGUUUUUCAUGGCCUGGAAGAGAGCCCUCGCAGCUGGCUCCGAGGGUUCCACCUCGUUUCCGACCGUGAUGUACCUGAAUCUGACACCCUCGUAGUUCUUGACGUUGUUGCAGAUCCACGUGUCGGCCUCGGCUUGGCUGGAGGCGAUGCGUUCGAGGUCUGAUUUAGGAACGUCGAGGAUGAGCUCGAUGUUGGAGUUGCGGAGAGCGUUGAGAGUGUCAUGGUCGGGGUCGUAGAUUCGCAUCCUCUGGAUGUUGCGGUGCUUGUAAAGAGCCACCACAUCUGAUGGACUUGGCCGGGGAUUGCCUAACCUUCCAUAGCAUACUCCGAUUUGUGCAGCUAUAUAUAUCAUUAGUAAUAGAAUUGCAUCAAAUAAUGUAAUAUCAAUAUGGUCAUACGAUAUGAUUAAUGGGUGUUACAUAAGGUUAAAAGAUGAUUAUACACGUGGUGUCGGAAAAGGAAGCCAUUAGAAGGCUGAGAAGAAUCAGCAACAUUGGUGAUGCAGGUAUCUAUUACAUUUUUUCCAUAUAGUUGAAUUACGCCAUGUGGUAAUACUAUAUAUGUUAUGCUGUGUGUAUUUAGGAUUCUGGUAUGGAGUGGAUAAUUCAUCUUGACACCGACGAGCUUAUUUAUCCUUCUGGAACCUCCUAUGAGUAUUCUUUAAGGAAAUUGCUUGGAAAUAUCUCUGCAGACGUUGACGCAGUUAUCUUUCCAAACUAUGUGAGUCUUACGGAGUGGACGAUUUUUCAUCUUUAUACUGAAUAUAAUGCCUUCUUGAUUCUGGAUUUUCAUCAGCAUUGUCUUCUUGUUUCAGGAGAGCAGCGUUGAGCGAGAUGAUAUCAAAGAACCUUUCAGUGAGGUAUCAAUGUUCAAGAAGAACUAUGACCAUCUUCCGAGGGAUGUUUACUUUGGAAACUAUAAAGAAGCCACUCGUGGAAAUCCAAACUAUUUCUUAACCUAUGGAAAUGGAAAAGCUGCAGCUCGUGUUCAGAACCAUCUUCGUCCCAAUGGUGCUCAUAGAUGGCACAACUACAGGAAGAGUCCAAAGUAUGCUCUUCUCUCGUUGGGCUCUUAGACCACUUCUUGGUCUAUCAUUCUAGAGUUGUUUAUUCAAUAGAAACUUCUUUUGCAUGCUUUUUUGCUUCGUAAUGACACAUUGACUUGCCUGAGCCUGUUAAUUUCAACUGUGGCAUCAUUUUUGACAGAGAGAUCAAACUAGAAGAAUCGGCCAUUCUGCACUACACUUAUCCCAAGUUUUCAGAUCUUACUUCAAGACGUGAUCGUUGUGGUUGCAAGCCUACUAAGGUGGAUGUUAAGAGAUGUUUCAUGUUGGAGUUUGACAGAGCUGUGAGUGGGGGAUUGAUUCCUUUUUUUCUUGUUUACUGUUGUGAAGCAUACAAGUCACAGUCAUCAUUUUUGUGUAGGCAUUUAUCAUUGCUUCAACCGCAAGCUCAGAGGAAAUGCUUCAAUGGUAUAUCGAUUUUAAUAAUCCACUACUCUUGAUUCAUCUUUCCGAUGGUGCAUUCUAACAAGCUACAUUAUAUACAGGUACAGAGAGCACGUUGUGUGGACAGACGACACAUUGAAGUUGAAACUCCUUAGGAAGGGAAUUCUAACUCGCAUUUAUGCCCCCAUGGUAAGAAGUAACCACAAACCUAAACCUUGUGCUUAAUGCUUGGUUUUCCACAAGCUGCAUUCAUCUUUUUUUUUUGUCACAGGUUAUAAUCCAAGAGUUAAGAGAGGCAGGUGUGUUCAGCUCCGUGGUAAACUCAGCUCACAUGUCUCUGAACAACUCUUCAACCGUAAGCAUAAGCCGAGAAUCAUCUCAGGUUACUGGUAGGAGGAGGGUAUUGGAAGCUCAUCUUGAUCUUGACAGUGAAUCUAUAGCAUCAGCCAUACCACCACAAUCACCUCCAGGCUUGGAACCAUUAUCUGAGUAGCUUUUUUUCAUAAAGAUGAGGGAGGACCUUAGAAUGAUAUUCACAGGUUUUGAACAUGAGCUCUGGUGUACAUUUCGGAAAAGUUUUUUCCUUUAUAGGUUAUACACAGACACAGAUGAAUAGAAUGUUAGCAGGCUUCUAUCCUAUGUAAUAUCCAGAACAUUUGACCAUGUUGAUUAUAUUACUUCAAAUACAAAGUCAUCGCCUUUCUGAUCCAACUGGUUCUCUUCUGGGUUAUGUUGUUUCUGACACAGUUUGUGUCUUAUGGGUUCUGAGUUACUCAGCUAAUGUUUGAGCAGGAGCACCAACUUUAAAAGAAGGGAAUUUGACAAGGGCCGUUGCUUAUUUGGUUAGGACUUUAAUGUUAAAAAGAACUAAAUUAUGGGCGUUUUUAGCAAUUCUGAUUUCUUGUGGGGUGAAAUUGAAAACUUUGUUAUACUCUUGAUACGGUGUCGUAUCGUCAUCUCCAGCUUGAGCUUGUGACGCGUGCGGUGGUUUAGCGAAAAGUCUGAGAGCCGAAGGAGGAGCCAACGGAUCCGCCAUGACUGCUCGUAAGAGAACUUCUUCGGUGGCUAAGUCAGAGAAUCCGCCGCCGGCGACGAAGGAGCAUAAACCCACCGUCGCUUCCGGCGAAGAUUUCCGUCUAGCACCGCCGAAGCUGGGCGUGAUCUUCGUGAUCUCUUCGAUUCUCUGCUCGCUCUACCUCUACCUUCUCUGUUUCCACUACAAUGUCGAUAAUGAGCUGAAGCGUCCGAUCCUCAUCAACGCUGGGCUUAGCUUGGUGGGGUUCUUCGUCACGCUCAAGUUGAUUCCGGUGGCUGCUAGAUAUGUUCUGAGGCGUAACAUGUUUGGGUUUGAUAUCAAUAAACGAGGCACUCCUCAAGGUGAAGUUAAAGUGUAAGUCUUUACUUCUUUUAAAUUUGUCUUCUUUAGUUGGUACUAGUGUUCAAUCGUUUUCUUGAAUUGGAUGUCUCUUUAGAUUUGAUUUUGUUUGGGGUUGAAAUGAAUGUUUUAUCGAAGUUUAAGAUUUGAUUUGAUCUAUGUGGCAUUUUACUUCUGCUUGUGUGGUGGGAUUAAAGAGCUUUGGUGUGGUGAGUUUCACCAUUUCUCACUUUGUGUUCAUCUGAUCUUUUUGUAGGCCUGAGUCGUUGGGAAUCGUUGUGGGUAUUGUCUUCUUGAUUGUGGCGAUAAUCUUCCAGUUCUUUAACUUCACUGAAGAUUCAUUAGUAAGUGUGCUUGUUCUCAUAAGCUACAAGCUUGCUUUUUAAUAUCUUUUAGCUCAGUAAAGGGUCAACGAUUAGGCCAAGCUCAUGUAAAAUGUAAUAUUUUGUUGUUGGACGGAUGUGAACUAUGAAGUUAGUACCUCUUGGCUCAUUUAGUGCUUUGAAGACACAUUUUGUAACAAUCUGGCUUAAUGACUCUAUGUUGCAGUGGCUUGUGGAGUACAAUGCAGCACUAGCGUCUAUUUGCUUCAUGAUAUUGCUUGGGUUUGUAGAUGACGUCCUUGAUGUGCCUUGGAGAGUGUAGGUGCACUUCUUUAUUUUGUUUGAUUUAACUUUAUAUGUGAACUUUGUUUCAGAUAUUAGUUUUUGUUAAAAUUUGCAGGAAACUUCUCCUGCCAUCUUUUGCAACCCUUCCACUCCUGAUGGCUUACGCUGGACAUACAACUAUCGUCAUACCAAAACCUCUUGUUUCUUAUGUUGGCUUGGAGAUACUUGAUCUAGGUACAAUUCUUCCUUUUUAUAUACUUAGUAUUAUAUUGUGCAGAAACUAAUAUUCAAAGUGAUUUUGCUUAAUUGUAUUGUUAUUGUGGCAGGACGGAUAUAUAAGUUAUAUAUGGCGCUACUGGCUGUCUUCUGCACUAAUUCUAUAAACAUUCACGCUGGUCUGAAUGGCCUUGAGAUCGGACAAACCGUAGUUAUUGCAGCUGCUGUAAGUUCUGCAGUCAAUAUUCUUCAUUAUUUGGUUUCUCUUAAGUGAAGAUAAUGAUGCGUCUCAGUUACUUGUAGAUCUUGAUACACAACGUUAUGCAAAUCGGAGCAUCCGUGGAUUCUGAGCUUCGUCAAGCUCAUGCCUUCUCUAUAUAUCUCACUCAGCCAUUGAUGGCAACAUCCUUGGCUAUGCUUGCUUUCAACUGGUAUUACUUUCAAGUCUUUUCUCUGGAAUACUUAAAAAGUGGAUGCUUACUCUAACCACAUUCAUGUUGUUUAGGUACCCUUCUGCAGUUUUUGUUGGAGACACUUACACAGUCUUUGCUGGAAUGACUAUGGCAGUUGUUGGCAUUCUGGGUCACUUCAGGUGUCUACUUAGUUUCAUCAUUUGCGGUUUUGUAUCUAAUUAAAGUGUGAAGCUUGCAACUAACUAACUAACUAACUCCAUCUUCUGAAACUUCUCCCUUCCAGUGAAACCCUCCUAAUCUUUUUCCUUCCUCAAGUGUUGAACUUUCUGUUGUCACUUCCGCAGGUUUCAUCUCUUUUCUCCCUCUCACACUUUCUUUUACUUAUCAGUUGCUUUGUUAAUCAUCUAACUAGCUAUUUGUGUAACUCUUUAGCUUGCUGGCAUUGUGAAAUGUCCACGGCAUCGUCUCCCCAAGUAAGUUUAUUCUUUCCCCUCUUACAUAAAAGCAGAGCCGACAACGGAUGAGUACGUGACUCGUCCUCUCUCUCUCUCUUUUUUGAACCAGGUUUGAUCCUGCUACGGGAUUACUAACGGGAACAAGAGAUGGGACGCUCGUCAACGUCUACUUGAGGAUUUUUGGUAGGAAGUCAGAAAAGUCUCUGUGUAUUCAUCUUCUUGUUUUCCAGGUAAGCUUCUUAAUGCCCACUCACAGUACAAGUUGGCUUGUUGUUUACUUGUGAGAGAGAGAUUACAAAAUUGGUUUUUGUGUUUAUGUUGCAGGCACUAGCUUGCGCCUUCUGUUUCCUGCUUCGGCAUUUUCUUGCUGGUUGGUACAAAUAAAUCUCUGCAACAUGAAGAAUCUUUUAAACGGCUCCUCGUUUUAUCUCUUCCUUCAAGAAUCACACAUACAGAACUUAGUUUUGUUUUCAUAUCCAUUAGCAAAGAUAGUUUCCAUCCUUAAAACGCGAUCAGUGCUAGUGAAUCUCAAAAAUAUAAGUAUGUUGGUAUUUUGUUACAUUUUCAUCUUAUUGUAGAGAGAAUGAACCAGAUUGAAGCCAAUAGGUGAAUCAAAAACCAUUUAUCAUGGAAUGUUUAUAAUUGCAUAAAAAAUUAUAUAUAAUAUGUAUGUGUAGUCACUUACUAAUAAGCUAGAAUGAUAUAUGUAUUAUCAGCCAUUUAGUGAAGUGGUAUAUAAAUUUAGUUGAGAUAUUUUAUGGAAUUUUCCCUACUAAUGAUAUAAUCAUCAUUCAAAGUUCUGUCAUUUAUCCUUGUAGCCACAUAAAGUUCUUUUGGGGUCGAUUUCAGUUCUGGAAUAGCAUUUUAUUGCAUCUCUAGCCCUUACUUCUAUAAGGAUAUUAUUUUGAAUUAUUAUUACUAUUACCAUUAUUUUAUUAGUUGAAAUUAACAUUAUACUUAGGCUGUUGAUUAGGAAGAAACAUACCCCAGAACUUCUCAAGCUCAGGGGGACCCUUCUGAUUCUCAUCAAACAUAGCGAAUAUAUAAGUCUCUAUAGCUUUCCCUGGCUUUCUCGGAGUUCCACUCUUCACAUGUUGUAUCAAAUUAUUAACAUAAGUCAUUGCAUUCUCCACGCUAGUCCCUGCUCCUCCCUCCGUUGGCCAACCGCUCUCAGACACCACGAUUUCCAACGAUCCUCCCCCUGAUUUCUCCAAUGCUGCAUAGACCGCGUCAAGUUGGGCGUCGAAGAGGUUAUGGUAAGUGUACUGCCCGUCAAUGACUGGAGGGGUCGGUUUGAACAGAGCGUACGCUAGAGGGAUGUCUUUCAUGUCAUCCUUGUAGCUGAAGUAAGGGUAGCUAUUCAAGAGCAGAGGAGAUUGCUUGCUUACCAAGAAACCUAUCACCGGUUGGAGAAAGGUGAUAUAGUCAUCUCUGAAUCUUCCGUGAGACGGAGGGUACGUGUCCAUGGUGGCUCCCAUGUCUAUAGCCGUCGACACCUUGAUCCCAAGGCCUGCUCUAGAAACCGCGUUAUCGAUGUUUUUCAUGGCCUGGAAGAGAGCCCUCGCAGCUGGCUCCGAGGGUUCCACCUCGUUUCCGACCGUGAUGUACCUGAAUCUGACACCCUCGUAGUUCUUGACGUUGUUGCAGAUCCACGUGUCGGCCUCGGCUUGGCUGGAGGCGAUGCGUUCGAGGUCUGAUUUAGGAACGUCGAGGAUGAGCUCGAUGUUGGAGUUGCGGAGAGCGUUGAGAGUGUCAUGGUCGGGGUCGUAGAUUCGCAUCCUCUGGAUGUUGCGGUGCUUGUAAAGAGCCACCACAUCUGAUGGACUUGGCCGGGGAUUGCCUAACCUUCCAUAGCAUACUCCGAUUUGUGCAGCUAUAUAUAUCAUUAGUAAUAGAAUUGCAUCAAAUAAUGUAAUAUCAAUAUGGUCAUACGAUAUGAUUAAUGGGUGUUACAUAAGGUUAAAAGAUGAUUAUACACGUGGUGUCGGAAAAGGAAGCCAUUAGAAGGCUGAGAAGAAUCAGCAACAUUGGUGAUGAAGUCCAUGAGGAUAAUAUCCUUGAUUCAGACAUUUUCAUGAAAUAAACGUUAAGAUAUGAUUUUUAUGUUAUACUUUGAACCGUACCAUUGUGGAACUAAUAAAGGGAAAAAAACUAGUUUAACCCUAAUUCAUUAGUUAAUUACUGAAAUGACUCUAAUUUUAUUUUAAUUAUUAGUUUAGUUUUCAUACCUGUUUUACCCCUAAGUCCUUUGUUAUCAAAAAUAAAAAUUACGAAAAUGUCAUUACUCAGAGACUUAUUUUUCCACGUUUUAUGUAACCACAAACUUAUAUUUAUUUUUCUUCGGUGACAGAUUUAUCUUAAAUUAUAUAGACUUAACUAAAUUUCUACAUAUUUAUUCUAAUAAAUUUGUCACGUUUGGUCACAGAUUUAUUAAAUUCUUACAGAUUUAAUAAGAUUUAGUUUCCUUGACCACAAAUUUACUUAAUUUUGACAGAUUUAUAUAGAAUUUGAUAGAUUUGUUUUUUUUCUUUGCUACUGAUUUACCUAUUUUUGACAGAUUUAUUUGCGGUUUGACUGAUUUAUUAUCUUUUGACCAUGGAUUUACUUUAUUUUGACAGAUUUAAUAUGGAUUUGAUAGAUUUGUUUAUCUUUUGACCACAAAUUUAUUUACAAUUUGAUAGAUUUAUUUUACGUUGGCGACAGAUUUAAUACCGAUCACCAAAUUUAUUAAUUAUUUGGUCACAAAUUUAUUAAAUUCUACUUAACCGAACUGGUUACUGAAAACAGAUUUAACCAUUAAAUUCUGAACUGAUUUAGUUAACAUAAAAUUUUAAUUGAAAUAACCAAAAUCUUGCUAACUAACAAAUUUAGUUAAAUAAACGGAAAUAAAUUAAGUAAACAAAACUAUAACCCAAAAAAAACUGCAAGACUUGCAAGAUUCAAGUUUAGCUUAUGAUUAGUCCUUUUAUAUGCUUUCUGAAUUUUUAUAUAAACUACGUUUGUUUCUGGCUUUUCUGGUUAUGAACAAUUCUCUGUUGAAAUUGCAGGUGAUAUGUUGUAACCGUAUAGCAAAGCUUUCACUUGUCUUUCGUAUCUAUUUCUUGAGAUUUACUUAGAAAACAACAUGUCACGUGUGCAUUGUCCCUCUACUCUUUCUCUCUGUUUUAUAGUGCGAAUAUGGGGGUUCAAGCCAGUCAAUGGAUGAAGUACCAUUAAUAAAAUUUCCCAAAUCUAUAUAUGCUUUGAAAAGUCUACGAAUAUGAAUGUUAAUUUCUGCGAAAUUAGCUUUCAAUAGGGUCAAACUAGCUAGAGCGACUGAAUUGUUAAAUGAAUAAAUGGUAUCAAUCGCCCAAACACAAAUUUGUAUUCGGUUUUCAGAAUACUAAAUUUAAAUCAUUUUUGGUACUAGUUUGGUCGGAUCAUAUGGUAUUAUAACUUUAUAAGUCAUUCCAAUCACGCAUGACAGUUAAUUUAAACAUUAAAUAUCUAAAUAUUUCCAAAUAAUGGAUCCAUGCACACCCCCACUAUAAAAGGUUUUUAAGACUAAAUGCGAUGAGGACUUCGAUUUUGGCAUCAUGGUAAUGGUAGAAGACUAAAAAGCCGUUAAUCACACGUCAACCUAUAUACUAUAAUGGUCCAUUCGUUUUAUUUUGGUUGUCAUUUUAAGUUUAUGCAUACAAACUAAAAAUAUAUUUAAUUUUACAUAUUUUCAAUAUAAAACAUAAUUAUUUAUACACAUAAUCAUAUUUCAAUUAUAGAAAAAUAAAAUAGAAAAUAUUAUUAAUAAAUUUUGCAUUGAAAUUAUAAAACUAUAUUUAUUUUGAAACAAAAUUUGUUUUUUACGACAACAAUUAAACUGAAACGGAAGAAGUAUAUUCUUAUUGUUAAGUAAAUAAUAUAUAGAUAAGGGUAUUGAAGCCUCCAACUCUAUACUUAUGUCAUUAGACAAACUAGGUAGCCAUCAUCAAUUAUGGUAAGAUGAUUUUUGUUACUAAUAAUUCCUCUAAUUAUCUUUCAAAGUUCUAUAGUUAGCCAAAGAAAGUUCGUUUGGGGUCGAUCUCUGGUAUGGACGAUAAAAAAUAGACGCAUGAUGGCUUUGGUUUAGGCUUGUGUUACGUCCAAUCGUUUGUUUUAUCUAAGAUUUAUAAGUUUUGUUUUAUUAUGAACACUCGAUCGAGCGAUCAACUCUCCAUCAGGAUCCCAGAUCAUAGACAACGUGGCUUCCUCCCUCAUGGCGGAAUCGUUGGCUCUCAGACAAGGUAUCAAAGAAGCCCUAAGACUAGGGAGGAGAUCAGCUUCGUUUCACUCCGACUGCGCAACGCUCAUCAGAGCAAUCUCAAUCCAAAUUCAGAUCAAGGAGAUCUAUGGUGUUCUUCAGGAUAUCAAGCAUCUCUCGGCAAAAUUUGAUCGUAUCAACUUCCUGCAUAUCUCCCGUUCCCAGAACAGAGAGGUAGACUAUCUAGCUAAAAUGGCCUUUAAGACCCAUCCGUUUUCUUCUUGCUAUGUUAUGGGCUAGCCUUUGGGCCUAAACCUUCAUUUGUUUCAGUUUUUAAGUUUUAAUAUAAUCAGUUGUUCAAAAAAAAAGUUUUAUUAUGAACAAAAAAUAUCAUAUAUAUAUUGUAGAUUUUAAAACCACUCUCGUUAUAUUAUUAUACUAUGGAAAUGGAAACAUAAGUAAAACAUAGCUUAAGGCUCAUCUAUCUUAUUAAAACUCAAGUACAAAAUUGGAGUGUUUGGAGACUUGAAUAGGACUUUUAAAAAUUUGGAGUGUUUGGAAACAUGGAUUGCAGUCUUUAAAAAAAAAUAUUUUUGUUUGAAAACAAGGAUAGUAGUAUUAAGAAAAAAAGUAAUGGGCUUAUGUUUUUUUUAAAAAUUGAAAGUUAUCUAGGCCACUUUUAAAAUAUACCAAAAUGGGUCAAUCUAAUUCCCUAAAAAAUUUUUUUCUAAACUAACCAUAAAACAAAAUUUAAACUUUAUAUACAUAUUUCAAAUCAAAAUAAUAAUUCAAAUUUGAUUUAUAUCAAAAAUUGAUUCAAAAAUAUACAUAUAUUCAAAAAUGGAUUUUUACUAAACUAUUUUUCAAUAACCAUUAUAAAAAAAUAUUGUCAAUAUAUAUAAGAAAAAUAUAAUACAAAGCCCAAUUUGAAAUACCAACUCAAAUUAUGGUUUUCAUAUUUCAUAUUAAGUUUUAAAAAUAUAAUAUAUGUAAUUAUUUAUAUGAUGGUAUGUAUAAAAUACUAUUAAUUAUAUGAUUACUUAUAUGAUGGUACAUAUAAAAUACGAUUAAUUAUAUGAUGAUAAAAUACGAUAUAUAAUAAUGACUAGGGAUGGGCUUUUGGAUACCCAUACGGGUUUAGUUCUGAUCGGUUUGUAUUUUGGGUUUUCGGGGUCAAAGAUUUCAGCCUUAUUAGAAUGUUUCUAAAUUUUGGUUUGAGUUCGAUUUGGAUCUUUGCGGGUUUGGUUUGGGUUUGGAUAACUAAUUUAAAUUAUUUUUAAAGUCUUAAAUCAUUAUAUAUUUUAAAUUUCUCAAAAUGUAUAAAUAAAAUAAUAUAUUACGUAUAAAUUUGAAUAACAUAUGUCAUAAUACUUAAGCUUAACAUAUCAAUUGGCUUGAUUUAAAAUUUUGGAUACGAAAUCAAUAAUUAUUUUAAGUAUUUUUGGUGAUUUGAGUAUACUUUAACUAUUUCAGAUAUUUACUUUUGACUAUCUAUAUAUAUUUUCAAGUAUUUAAACCAAUUUAAAAGUAUCAUUUUUGAUGUUUUAUAUACGUUAAAUCUAAAAAUAAUCAAUAUAUAUAAGUAUAUAAAUCUAUUUUUAGAUAAAUUCGGAUACCCAAAUACUUCGGUUCGGAUCAGAUUUGGUUCUCUAAAUAACAAAAUUUUGAAUAAUUAGAAUAUUUAAUCAAUUUAUGUUUGGGUUUGGUACUAUAUCUUUGGAUCGGUAUCGGUUAUGUUCCUCGGAUUCAUUUUCCCAAAUCCUAAUAAUUACAUGAAAAACAAAUAUCAACAUAUUUUUCAAAAUAUACACCCGCGCGCCUGCGCGGGUCAAAAUCUAGUUAUUCUUUAUUGUUACAACAAGUUCUCACUUUUUAAUACUCAAAUAAUACUUAAAUAGCUGUUCAUUGCAUCACUAGCCAUUGCUUCUUCAAGAUGUCUCUUCAAGCAUAGAUGAAAUUAACAUUAUACUUAGGCUGUUGACUAGGAAGAAACAUCCCCCAGAACUUCUCAAGCUCAGGAGGACCCUUCUUAUUCUCAUCAAACAUAGCGAAUAUAUAAGUCUCUAUAGGUUUCUUUCGCUUUCUCGGAGUUCCAGUAGUAGUCACAUGUUGUAUCAAAUUAUUAACAUAAGUCAUCGCAUUUUGUACACUAGUCCCGGGUCCUCCCUCCGUGGGCCAACCACUCUCCGACACCACGAUCUCCAACGAUCCGCCACCUGAUUUCUCCAAUGCUGCGUAGACUGCGUCAAGAUUGGCGUCAAAGAGGUUUUGGUAAGCGUACUGGUCGUCAUUGACUAGACUGGAUGGUGAAGUGAACAGAGCGUACUCUAGAGGGAUGGUGUCCAUGUUGUCCUUGUAGCUGAAGUAAGGGUAGUUAUUUAAGAGCAGAGGAGAUUGCUUGCUUAUACCAAGAAAUCUAUCACCGGUUGGAGAAAGUUUUUAUACUCAUCCGUGAAUGUUCCUUGCGACGGAGGAUAAGUGUUCAUGGUGGCUCCCAUGUCUAUAGCCGUCGACACCUUGAUCCCCAGCCCUGCUCCAGAAACCGCGUUAUCUAUGUUCUCUGCAUUGCCUGGAAGAGAAUCCUCCCAGCUGGCUCCGCGGGUUUCACCUCAUUUCCGACCGUGAUGUACCUGAAUCUGACACCGUCGUAGUUCUUGACGUUGUCCCGGACCCACGUGUCGGCCUCAGCUUGGCUGGAGGCAACACGGUCAAGGUCUGUUUUGGGAACGUCGAGGAUAAGCUCGAUGUCGGAGUUGCGAAGAGCGUUGAGAGCUUCUGGGUCCGGAGCGUUAAGCCGCAUCCGCUGGAUGUUUCUCUGCUUGUAAAGAGCCACAACGUCCGAUGGAUUCGGUCGGGGGUCGCCUAACAUCCCGUAGCAUACUCCGAUUUGUCCAGCUAAUCAUUAACAAUGAAAUUGCAUCAAAUAAUUUAAUAUUAUAUAACAUAACCAAAUAACCAAUAUGGUCAUAUAUCAUUACUGGGUGUUAUAUAAGCUUAAAAGAUUAUUCAACCUGUGGUGUCGAAGAAUGAAGCCAUUAGAAGGCUGAGAAGAACCAGCAACAUUGGUGAUAAGGAUACUAUCCUUGAUUCAGACAUUUUCAUGAAACAAAUGUUAAGAUAAGAUUUUUAUGUUAUACUUUGAACCGUACCAUUGUGCACCUAAUUUAUAGUGCGAGUAGGUUCAAGUCGGUCAUUGGAUGAAAUAUCAGUAACAAAUAUUUCUCUAGAUCUAUGCUUUGAAAAGUCUACGAAUAUUAGUUUCCUGCAGAAGUAGCUUUCAGUAUGGUCAAAGUAGCUAGAGAGACUUAAGUGUUACGUUGGAUCAAUCGCACAAAACAAAAUUGUAUUUGGUUUUCAGUAUACUCACAUUUAAAUCAUUCUUGUGUUUUCUUUGGGUGCUAGCUAGGUCGGUUCAUGGUAGGGAGGUACACGAAUCAAAUCUAGCUAGGUCGGUUCAUGGUAGGGAGGUACACGAAUCAAAUAUACGAAGCGUUGGAGGUAUUUGUGAUCCAAUCCAUUUUAUCUGAACAAUCAAUUAUUCAAUUCGGUUUGAUCCAUAUUUAUUUGAAUACUCGAUUAUCGGAUAACCAGAAAUUUUAUAUUCUUAACUGAACAUUCGAUUUGAUUCGAUUCGAUCCAUAAAAAUAAAAUUGAAACAAAUAAAUAAAUACCCAAAAUAAUGUAAAAUAAUAAUAUAUUUAUUACUAAAAUAAAAAUCACUUAUCUUUUACAUUUUUAAUAACUAGAAUAAUAAAUUUAAGAAAGAAAAAUAUUGUAAAACUGACAUACCAUAGAAUAAUAAAUUUAAGAAAGAAAAAUAUUGUAAAACUUACAUACCAUAGAAUAAUAAAUUUAAAGCUAUGACAGUACAAACAUAAGAGACUCAUGAUUAGUUAGAUCAUCUCCAAUAGUUUACUUUAUUUUUUAUUCUAAAAUAGAGUAAUUCUAUAAUAGAAUUUGAAUGGUACUAUGUUUUAGAGUAGAAAAUAGCAGUGUUCUAAAAUACGGUCUAGACGGCGUUUAGACGCUAUACAAUAACCAACCAUACUGUUUUUAUGUUAUACAGUGUUUUAUGCAGAUUUAUAUAAUUCAGGCGAAUAAUAGUGUUUAGGCGGACAUUAUACAGUCUACUCGAACGCCUAGGCGGAUUUUAAGAAUUAAUAUUCAAAAAAUAAACUAUUAAUAUUAUUAUUAUAUUUUAUUAGUGUUAUUAUUUAUAUUACUUCUACUUAUUUUAUGUAUUUAUAUGAUUGUAGAUAUUAGUAUAAUUGUUACAAAAUCCUUUUCAAUUUAUCAUCUUUAUAUAUUUAAAAUGGCUUUAAUUUUUAUAAUUUAAAACUAUUUAUAUAUGUUAAACUAUAUACUUAUACAUAAAAGUAGAUUUAAAAUAUAUUUAUGUUCAGUUUUUUCAAAAACAAUGUAUAUAUAUUAAUCUUAUACUUAUACUUUGUGUAAAAGUAUAUAUUUGUAUAUACUUUUUAGGCGUCCGCCUAUACGGCUAAGCACUAUACAGUCAUCUAACGCGUAAUAAACGUCUAGCGCGUUUUAGAACACUGGAAAAUAGAAUGAUGAAAAAAAAAAUAAGUUGUUGCCAAAAAAAAAACAAAAAAAAAUAAAUUAAUCUAUAUUUGGAAUAAACGUAUUCUUACUCUAUUAUAAAGUGAAAAAUAGAGUAUCAUUAAAAUACUUUUACUCUGAACUCUAUUUUAAAUUGAAAAAUAGAGUGAAAUCGAGGAUGCUCUUAAUACUUAGUAAUAAUUUUACCUAAUUAUUUCCCCAACUUUUUUUACCGUAUUGUCUGCAUGGUGGGCACAGUAUAAGCCGUUAAUCACACGUCAAUCACACGUCAAUCGUUGACCAUGUAAUUAUAUAUCCUUAAGUCAUUAGACAAACUAGCCAUCAUCAAUUAAUGGCAAGCUGACUUGGUUACUAAUAAUUCCUCUAAUCAUCAGUCAAAGUUCUGUCAUUUACGUCUCUAAUAUAGAGAUCUCUAAAACAUAGAAAAAAAUAGAGAUAGAAGUGUUUACUCCAAUGUGUUCCUUUAUAAUAAAAAAAUGCUAUAUUUAUCUCUAUAAAUAGAGGAAUACUAUUUUUUCCUCUAAAUAGGGAAAAAAUAGCAUUCAUCUAUAACCAUCUCCAAUAUAUUUUGUUAUUUUCACUUCUAAAAUAGAUGAACUUUAUAAUAGAAGUAAAAAAUAGAGGAAUACUAUUUCUUCCUAUAUAAAUAGCGGUAAAAAUAGAAAUCUCUAUUAUAGAGAAAGAAAUAGAUGUGGAUUAGAGCAAUUUCACCUAUAAAUGCUAUUAUAGAAGUAGCAAUGGGUGAGAAAUGCUCUAGAGUCAAAUAUAGCAUUCCUCUAUUAUAGAAGAACACAUUGAAGAAAAACUCCAUCUCUAUUUUUUUUCUCUAUUUUAGAAAUCUAUAUUUUAGAGAUGGUCAGAGAUGGUCUAAUAGCCAUAGAAAGUUUUUCUGGGGUCAAUUUACGUUUUGGACGACGAAAAAAACACAUGGUGGCUUUAGUUAGGCUUGUGUUACGUCCAAACGUUUGUGUUACUAUGAACUAAAAUAAUAUAUGUAUAUACAUUGUAGAAAUUAAACCACACUCUCAUUAUAUUAUAGAAACAGAUGGAGUAAAACAUAGAUUAAGGCUCAUUAUUCCUUUAUCAUUACAACAUGUUCCCUCUUUUUAAUACCAAUACAGAAAAGACCAUCAAAUAAUAGAUAUAAAGCAUUUUAUUGUAUCACUAGCCCUUGCUUAGUAUCUUCAAGGAUUUUAGCUGAAAUUAACAUCAUACUUAGGCUGUUGACUAGGAAGAAACAUCCCCCAAAACUUCUCAAGCUCAGGAGGACCCUUCUGAUUCUCAUCGAACAUAGCGAAUAUAUAAGUCUCUAUAGGUUUCUCUCGCUUUCUCGGAGUUCCACCCUUCACAUGUUGUAUCAAAUUAUUAACAUAAGUCAUCGCAUUAUCCACACUAGUCCCUGGUCCUCCCUCCGUGGGCCAACCACUCUCCGACACCACGAUUUCCAACGACCCUCCGCCUGAUUUCUCCAGUGCUGCGUAGACCGCGUCAAG